AAUUCUCAACUGCCCCAGGCUUUGUGGCCUGCAGGUGAAGUUGGACUUGGAGGUAUGCUGGCGCAUGAAUGGGCUUUGUGCCCUGCCUUGCUUGUUGGCUCCUCUCGAAUGCAUGAGCUUUCCAAUCCUUGGCAAAGUAUCGUCGAUGUGAUAAUUGUCUACGUCGCCCGAGAAAGCCGAAAAGGGGAAAUCUUUGAUCACGCUGGGGUGACCCGUGUCUGACAAAUUCGACCUCAAAUCAGGUAGGACUACCCGCUGAACUUAAGCAUAUCAAUAAGCGGAGGAAAAGAAACUAACAAGGAUUCCCCUAGUAACUGCGAGUGAAGCGGGAAAAGCUCAAAUUUAAAAUCUGGCGGCCUCCGGUCGUCCGAG
rnacentral:rRNA from 1 species